GCGGUGGGCUGGAUGAUCGCGGCGGCAACGUCGAGGAAAGUCCGGACUCCAGAAAGAAACGGCGCCGGGUAACGCCCGGCCGGGGUAACCCGAGGGAUAGCGCCACAGAGAACAGACCCCCCGGUCGCGAUCGGGGAAGGGUGAAACGGUGGAGUAAGAGACCACCGCCGGGCUGGCAACAGACCGGGCAUGGCAAGCCCCGCCGGGAGCAAAGCCGAAUAGGGAUCGCGCGGGUUUCGGCCCAGGGCUGCUUUCGCCCCGACGAUUCGGGUUGGCUGCUUGAUGUCACGUGUAAGCGUGUACACAGAGGAAUGAUCAUUCAGGGAAGCCCCAGGGCGACCCGGACAGAAUCCGGCUUACAGGCCCUCCGCACAA
rnacentral:RNase_P_RNA from 1 species